rnacentral:ribozyme from 1 species
AGUCUUCAGACGACUACCCUUUGCACAUUCGGGGAGAGAUGAUUCCUUCCCACUGGAAACCAAUUCCAUUGGGCAUGGGAUUCCAAUAUCAUAACGAUUUCGCUGCUGAUAUGAGGAUGAUUGGGGUUUAAUCCACCGAGG